GUUACUAAAAAGUCUGAUUUAAGGCAAGACUGGAUCCGCGCUCAAACAAUGCUUUCAGGAAUCUGUGUCUCCAGCUCUCAGCCCUGCUCUCCCCUGACUCUACCCGGGUGGCAUCAAGGUGCGUUCUGGCAGUUUCAGGCCCAUGUCCUGCUAGUCAGCAAUACCAAGGGAAAGAGGGCCUCUUUCAAAACAGUGCAGCAAAAGUCCCGGGACGGAAUCCCCUUGGCGUGACCUGGGGUCAAACGCCUCUUCUGCAAUUAGUCGCCGUGGCUGGCCGAUGGGAUGUGCGGAUUUUUCUGGACUGACUCAUAUGCCGAUUCCUGAAGCUCCACCCAAACAACAUGGGCUCAUGUUUACGGAGGAGCAGGCCCUCAAGAAAAGCAGGUGCUUUCAUCAGAAGAGGGGUAGAGGUUGCACAGAGAAAAAUUAUGUUCAUCUUCUUUCCAAGGUCAGCUCCGCCGAAGGGGCCGCCAAGGAAGAGCCCAAGAGGAGAUGGGCGCUGUUGUCAGCUAAACCUCCCGCAAAAGUGGAAGCGAAGCCGAAAAAGGCAGCAGCGAAAGAUAAAUCUUCAGACAAAAAAGUGCAAACAAAAGGGAAAAAGGGAGCAAAGGGAAACAGGCCGAAGUGGCCAACCAAGAAACUAAAGAAGAUUUACCUGCAGUAAACGGGGAAAUGAAAACCGAGGAGAGUCCAGCCUCUGACGAAGCAGGAGAGAAAGAAGCCACGUCUGAUUAAUACCAUAUACCAUGUCUCACCAGUGGUGCCUGUCUCCCUUCUUGUACAAUCCAGAGGAAUAUUUUUAUCAACUAUUUUGUAAAUGCAAGUUUUUUAGUAGCUCUAGAAACAUUUUUAAGAAGGAGGGAAUCCCACCUCAUCCCAUUUUUUAAGUGUAAAUGCUUUUUUUAAGAGGUGAAAUCAUUUGCUGGUUAUUUUUUGGUACAACCAGAAACUAGUGGGGGAUAUUGAACUAUGGGAGGCUUUGACUGUCUCUGGUGUCAGCUUAACAUUCCAUAGAUGGGGGGUUAGUUUUUAUAUCCUAGAAUACAAAGCAUAUUAAAUGGCAAUAUGGAGUCAGUCCUGCAUUUAAUGUCUUGAACAUUUUAUUUUACUUCUAUUCCCGUGUUGUUUUUCAGUAGAAUUGUUUCCUACAGAAAACCACCCCUUGAUCAUGGCGCUCCCUGUCGGAAUUGUGUGCACUCUGUAACAUCUUUGGUAGUGGUAGUCCUGUUUGCCUAAUAACCGUGUUACUGUGCUGUGAAAGAUUACAGAUUUGAAUAUGUGGUGUACAUGCUAUUCAGUGUGAACUGGUGGGCCACAUGUAACAGCUGACCGACAUGUGAAGAAACUGGUACUUGAUAGCCUCUUAAGGAAAAUCUGCUUCCAAAUUUUAAGCUGGAAAGUCACUGGAAUAACUUUAAAAAAGAAUUACAAUACAUGGCUUUUUAGAAUUUCGUUACAUAUGUUAAGAAUUGUGUACAAAUUGAAAUGUCUGUACUGAUCCUCAACCAAUAAAAUCUCAAUUAUGAAAAAAAA